rnacentral:lncRNA from 1 species
GCUGCCCCGCCCACUCUGGGAAGAGGGGCGGGGCCGCCCGCUCCAGAGGGACGGAAGCGGCGGGGCCGCCGGAUCCAGGGACAAUGGGGUGGGGCGGGCUUUCCCUGGGUGGGCGCAGCGGCUUCCUGGGUCCCCCUCACGCUCUGGGUCAGAGUUCCUUUACAGGCGGACCUGAGAGGCAACUCACCGACUCCUGCCCUGGACCCUCCUGCGCCACUGAACCCCCUGACCUGGGAGCCUCGGAACCUAGGGCUCAGGAGAUGAACCAGGACUUAUCCGAAGGUACCAAGUGAACUUCUAGGAAAAGUCCAAUUCUCAGAUGCUGGAUGUCUUCCAAAAAUGAAGCAAAUUAGUAACUUAGUAGCUGAGUCAACUAAUCCUGUUAGAUGGUCAACACUGGUUUUUUUAUUUUAAUAUUUUUAAGUGGCAACUCUAGUGUGUGAGAAAAUUAAUGUGACAGCUGAAUUUGUAGAAAGCUGCUUUGACUCUCUUGGGCCCCUUCAUAAGCCCUGGAACUAAAUAAAAGUCUAGUGAAUACAGAGAACUUCCAGCAGCUGUUUACCUGGAAACAAGUUGAAAAUGUAUUUGAAAUGGAAGCCACUAGAAUUGUAAACACUUCUGUCAUCUUUCUCCUUUGUGUGCCUCUGCAGAUAAGGCUGCUCCAGUGCCCCCAAAUUUGGACCUUAUGCUCUGUAGUUUCCUGUUAUAACCAAUUUGCUAUUUGUGUUACCAAAGUAUAUUUAGUAGAUUUUAUUUGAAAAAAGAAAUAAAGUUAGAAAAUAUUGACAGUAUUACAUAACAUAAGUUCUUUGUUUAAAUUUGUCAUAUUUAAUUUUUGAAAGCUAAAUAACUAAAAUCUCAUUUCUACUAAAUUAUUCUUUUUUUCAUGCUAAGG